AGCCUUUUUCACUGCGAUGCAGUGUGCGUGGCCGCAAAGGCACCCCUGCGUGCUUGUUGCCUCCAGACUGGUGCUUGCUGGGCCUCUGCGCGGGCCUGGGAGGGGAGGCUGUGGACCAAGCAGACGCGACUGCGGGGCGUGGAGGGUGCCGCCGCUUUAAGGACCGGGCGAUGCCUGUUCUUUGCUCCUCUCUAUGUAGCAAGAGCCCCUUGCCCAGGGUCCACAAAAAGCACUCCGAGGAGGGGAAACGCGGCGGGCAAGGCCGCGCACUUCCACUUCCGGCCCUUCGGCCGGGGCCCUUCAGGCUAAGGAUGCUUGUUUUGUGUGGCGCCAUCCUCAAAACAGGAAGCCUCUGCCACCCGCGCCCCGAGGGUAGAGAGAUAGUACCCUCACCGGAGUCGCUGUCCGCCCGCCGGUCUCGUCGGCGUGCAGGUGCCCGCAGUCGCUGACAGCCGGGGUUUUGGAGGGCGCGCAGCCAACACGGGAUGGAGCUCGGGUGCAGCCCUCGGCGUCCCCGCCGAGCAGCCCUGGGAGGCACCGCCACCAGCAGCACGCAGAUUUGCCCCGUCACUCCCUCCUUAACGAGAAAAGGAACGUAUGAGCCAAAGUCGGCUCGACAAUUUCCACUCAGAUGACCCCAAACACUGGUCUGCAGCUCUGUUAAUCGUUCUUGUGGAAAAAAGAAAUAACAAUUUAGUUUUUCAUGAAAUGAAAUACUCAAGCCAAAGGAUUGUUCCUUAUUCUGAGCCUCCCCCCGCUUUUUUUUUUUUUUUUUUUUUGGUAUUGUGAAACGAAAAUUCACUCUGCCAAAAGGAAAAAAAAUUAAACUGAAAGCUGAGUCAUGCAACUGCCUUUCCUUUUGUUCCUAAGCAGAUAGCUACAGAUUAAAGGUGAAGUAUCUCCACUCUAUGUUCACCUUAUCUUGUGUAAAGUGCCGAUUUACUGAGCGCCAAAUACAUAACUGUUGCCCUACCUGCUCCCUUUAUCGCAACAUGUGGCUUCAAUAAUGUGAACAUACCUUCCAUCUUCCCCCUCCAGCCUGCUUUUCCCCUUUAAAUAUUGAAGCCCUCAAAAUCAUCUUUGGAGAAAGGCACAGACCUGUCUUCUGGGCGCGAGUCCUUCACCUUCGCAACAUAAAUUUCUAAACUGAUACAGGUACUUUUCGGUUCACAAAUAUUGACAUUUAACUUAAUUGAAAGUCGUUUGUUUUAUAUUAUCACUUGGAAAAAUUUAAAGUUAGCUGUUCUAUGUUGAUGCCUAAAAUUGGGGAUAGGGGCCUGCUUUAUUAUAAUGAAAUCCAGAAGUGAACCUAAUUUCACAGUCCCCCAUCGGCUCCCCAGAGAUCUGCCUGAGUUCCCAAGAACAGAAUUCUAAGUGUGUGUGAUAUGGGCGAACACAAGCUCUGUGUCAGGCUCCGUUCUUCCUAGGGGUAGGGGAGGCCUUUCUUCCAAGGAGAAUGGAGACUGUGCCUUGUGGCGUCUGUGGCUGGGCACUGGUCGGCUGUUGGGUGCUCCUCUCUGCACAUUCACAUGCCCUCCCCGCAGUCCAUGUUCUGCCUCCCCCAUCUCCACCACACUAAAUACAAAGUAAAUUUUAAAGGACAAUUAAGGAGUUAUUUUGGCUAAAGUUUCAAGUAACUGCCCCAAACAGUUGACAACUUGCCUUGAUUAGGUCAGCUGGCUCCCUUUCUCCACAUAGGAGAAAAAGACCAAGCCUCAAGGCCUUUCAAGGGUGGCCGUUGCUUCCUCCUACAGUAACUGUUCCCUUACACGGUUAUGCUGUUCCCUCCCUGUUUCCUCCAAGCUCUCCCAGCCUACUGACCCAGACCACAGUCCAUGGAAUAAGAGAGUUCCUGGUUCGUUACUUCCUGAAUCUUACGAACUCUAGCCCAUCAGAUUUCAGCUGGAUGAGAAUGUGAUUGUCAUCAACUCCUGCUUCUGCUAAGUGGGGGAAGGAUGUGGUGCUUCAGUUUCACAAACAUGGGGCAGGAAUUGGUGGCUUCCAUGCUAGCUCAGUCCCACUCCACCAGCAAUGCCAAGGCCAGCUUCUCUCCUAAAGUACCUUGAAGACAAGCAUAACCCACCACCACAAACAUUAGUUUUUCUUCAAGGACUGCCAGUCUGAUUUACUAGAGAAAUGACCUCCAGCUAGUCUAUGCAAAGACAGGAUCUUCCUCAAAUUAAU
rnacentral:lncRNA from 1 species